CCUACGGGGGGCAGCAGUGGGGAAUUUUGGACAAUGGGCGCAAGCCUGAUCCAGCCAUGCCGCGUGCGGGAAGAAGGCCUUCGGGUUGUAAACCGCUUUUGUCAGGGAAGAAAUAGCUUGGGCUAAUACCCCGAGUUGAUGACGGUACCUGAAGAAUAAGCACCGGCUAACUACGUGCCAGCAGCCGCGGUAAUACGUAGGGUGCAAGCGUUAAUCGGAAUUACUGGGCGUAAAGCGUGCGCAGGCGGCUUCGUAAGACAGAGGUGAAAUCCCCG
rnacentral:rRNA from 1 species